GACGAACGCUGGCGGCGUGCUUAACACAUGCAAGUCGAACGGAAAGGCCCUGCUUUUGUGGGGUGCUCGAGUGGCGAACGGGGGCGUAACACGUGAGUAACCUGCCCUUGACUUUGGGAUAACUUCAGGAAACUGGGGCUAAUACCGGAUAGGAGCUCCUGCUGCAUGGUGGGGGUUGGAAAGUUUCGGCGGUCGGGGAUGGACUCGCGGCUUAUCAGCUUGUUGGUGGGGUAGUGGCUUACCAAGGCUUUGACGGGUAGCCGGCCUGAGAGGGUGACCGGCCACAUUGGGACUGAGAUACGGCCCAGACGCCUACGGGAGGCAGCAGUGGGGAAUAUGGCACAAUGGGACGAAGCCUGAUGCAGAAACGCCGCGUGCGGGAUGACGGCUUGCGGGUUGUAAACCGCUUUCGCCUGUGACGAAGCGUGAGUGACGGUAAUGGGUAAAGAAGCACCGGCUAACUACGUG
rnacentral:rRNA from 1 species